rnacentral:rRNA from 1 species
UACAGAGGGUGCAAGCGUUAAUCGGAAUUACUGGGCGUAAAGCGUGCGCAGGCGGUUGUGCAAGACAGAUGUGAAAUCCCCGGGCUCAACCUGGGAACUGCAUUUGUGACUGCACAGCUUGAGUGCGGCAGAGGGGGAUGGAAUUCCGCGUGUAGCAGUGAAAUGCGUAGAUAUGCGGAGGAACACCGAUGGCGAAGGCAAUCCCCUGGGCCUGCACUGACGCUCAUGCACGAAAGCGUGGGGAGCAAAACGG